rnacentral:rRNA from 1 species
CCGCGGUAAUACGAAGGGGGCUAGCGUUGUUCGGAAUUACUGGGCGUAAAGCGCGCGCAGGCGGUUCUCCAAGUCAGUGGUGAAAGCCCGGAGCUCAACUCCGGAAUUGCCAUUGAAACUGUAGAACUUGAGGACGAGAGAGGUGAGUGGAAUUCCCAGUGUAGAGGUGAAAUUCGUAGAUAUUGGGAAGAACACCGGUGGCGAAGGCGGCUCACUGGCUCGUUUCUGACGCUCAGGCGCGACAGCGUGGGGAUCAAACAGG